GCUGAAUUAAAUUUUCCAUUGAGGUUUCAGGCUGCAGGAAACUAUCCUGCCGGCUUAAUUGUCAUAAUAAGAGCACAAAGAAAAUUUGUUUAAAAGUUAAUAUGUUUGUAUUUCAGAAUGAUAUCUUUCACAUUUGCUGCUCUAAUGCUUGUUCUUCCAUCCUGCUCACCCAACUUUUCUUUUGAAGGAGGGGAUAUGUUCCAGACUUUUCUAUCUUAUGUAACAGAUGCCUCUCGUCCAAUCAAAUUACAUCUAAACCAAAAGUGUGAACUGAAACUUCAGCCUUCUUGCUAUGAAAGUACUAUAACCUUUCUCUUUUUACCGAAUAGCUUUCCUGGUGGCAAGACGCUUAUAAACCAUGCUGCUGCUGCUUACGAUAACGUUCUAAUUCAAACUGCAAUUUAUGUAUUCAAAUAUUAUUAAGAAAUAUCUUAUAUGAAAAAGGAUGAUUUGAUAUGCAUGGAAAAAAUAAAGAUUGUGAUUUUUCAAGA